rnacentral:lncRNA from 1 species
GGACAUUAUGUCAUAGCAAAUUUAACUACACUUGUACACCCCUUUAAAUUUCUAAUACAAAAACAAAGGAACAAAGAAAUGGUGCACUCUAUAUCAAAGAUCUUUGUAUAAACUUCAAAGAUCUUUGUAUUAUAAGCCUUUCAACUUUACCCUACAAUUUCAAGAACCUCACAAUGAGUUAAAAAGAAUGAAUUGAAACAUUUUACAAGACAAGCUUUUCACAGAUUAUGUCCUGAAAAUGUGUGUGAUUAUAUUAA